rnacentral:lncRNA from 1 species
UUAGCUUAAAUUUAAAAAUAGUUAAUUAUUUAAAAUAAGAAUGCACAAUAAAUUAUGAGUAGAAUGAGACAAAAAUUGAAUAGGAAGGAAAUUAAAGUAUCAUCAUAAAGAAAAGGAUUUGUUGUUAAAUUGUGUCUGAUGGGAAUUAAUAAUUAUAAUGAUUGCUUGUUUAAAGGGGGAGGGUUGAUCCAAACCACCCAUUAAUUCACGCU